UACGUAGGGCGCAAGCGUUGUCCGGAAUUAUUGGGGCGUAAAGAGCUCGUAGGUGGUCUGUUGCGUCCGCUGUGAAAACCCAGGGCUUAACCCUGGGCUGGCAGUGGAUACGGGCAGACUAGAGGUAGGUAGGGGAGAAUGGAAUUCCCGGUGUAGCGGUGAAAUGCGCAGAUAUCGGGAGGAACACCGGUGGCGAAGGCGGUUCUCUGGGCCUUACCUGACACUGAGGAGCGAAAGCGUGGGGAGCGAACAGG
rnacentral:rRNA from 1 species